UACGAGGGGGGCAAAUGUUGUUCGGAAUCACUGGGCGUAAAGGGAGCGUAGGCGGGUUUUAAGUCAGGUGUUUAAUCCCGGGGCCCAACCCCGGACCGGCACUUGAAACUGGGAAUCUUGAAUAGUGGAGAGGUCAGUGGAAUUGGGGGUGUAGCGGUGGAAUGCGUAGAGAUCGGCAGGAACACCCAGGGGGAAACCGAGUGGACUGGGCAUGUGCUGACGCUCAGGUGCGAAAGCGUGGGGAGCAAACAGG
rnacentral:rRNA from 1 species